rnacentral:rRNA from 1 species
GGUCAAGCUACUAAGAGCGUAUGGUGGAUGCCUUGGCAGAAGAUGGCGAAGAAGGACGUGGCAAGCUGCGAUAAGCUUCGGGGAGCCGCCUAGCAGGCUUUGAUCCGGAGAUUUCCGAAUCGGGAAACCGUAUUUCUUGAAAGAGAGAUAAUCCAUAUCUGAAUACAUAGGGUAUGGAGGCAAACCCAGGGAACUGAAACAUCUCAGUACCUGGAGGAAAAGAAAACAAAACAGUGAUUCCGAAAGUAGCGGCGAGCGAAAUCGGAAGAGUCUAAACCUUCAAUAGUAAUAUUGGAGGGGUUGCGGGACCGUAAUGUGAUACUCCGUAGGAUAGUUGAACAGUCUGGAAAGUCUGGCCAUAGAGGGUGAUAGCCCCUUAAACGAAAUCUGAAAGAGGUCUAGCGGUAUCCCAAGUACCACGGGACACGAGAAAUCUUGUGGGAAUCCAGGAGGACCAUCUCCUAAGACUAAAUACACGCUUCUGACCGAUAGUGAACUAGUACCGCGAGGGAAAGGUGAAAAGUACCCCGGAAGGGGAAUGAAAUAGUAUCUGAAAUCAUACGCUUACAAACAGUGGAAGGACUAUGGCACCGCAAGGUUGCAAUGUCUAACCGCGUGCCUUUUGCAUAAUGAGCCAGUGAGUUAUUUUUGCAAGCAAGGUUAAUCCGUUCUGCGGAGCAGCCACAGCGAAAGCGAGUCCGAAUAGGGCGUUAAGUUUGCAGGAAUAGACCCGAAACCAGGUGAUCUACCCUUGGCCAGGAUGAAGGUCGUAGAAAUACGGCUGGAGGUCCGAACCGGUGCCUCGUGAGACAGGCUCGGAUGAGCUGUGGGUAGGAGUGAAAGGCUAAUCAAACCUGGAGAUAGCUGGUUCUCCCCGAAAGAUAUUGAGGUAUCGCCUUGUGAGUUCUUGCGUGGGGGUAGAGCACUUGAUGGACUAGGGGUCAGAAAUGACUACCAAAUCCAACUAAACUCCGAAUACCACGUUAAGUAUCGCAGGAGGCAGACUGUGGGUGCUAAGAUCCAUGGUCGAGAGGGAAAUAGCCCAGAUCGCCGUCUAAGGUCCCAAAAUAUAAGCUAAGUGGGAAAGGAUGUAGGUUUACUUAAACAGCCAGGAGGUUGGCUUAGAAGCAGCCAUCCUUUAAAGAAAGCGUAACAGCUCACUGGUCGAGCGAACCUGCGCCGAAAAUGUAACGGGGCUAAAGCUUAUUACCGAAGACGCGGAUUUACCGAAAUUUCGAUUUCGAUAAGUGGUAGGGGAGCAUUCUUGUUGCCUGCGAAGGUUGAUUGUAAAGACAACUGGAGGUCCAAGAAGAGAUCCUGCUGGCUUGAGUAGCGAUAAACAUAGUGAGAAUCUAUGUCGCCGUAAACCCAAGGUUUCCUGGGGAAGGUUCGUCCGCCCAGGGUUAGUCGAUCCUAAGCCGAGGCCGAAAGGCGUAGGUGAAGGAUAACAGGUUAAUAUUCCUGUACUACCUUAUAGAUGUUAUGCGUCGUGGGGACGGAGAAGGAUAGGUUAGCGCACGAUCGGAAGUGUGCGUUUAAACUCGUAGGAGGAUCGCUUAGGCAAAUCCGGGCGGUCAUUAACUCCGAGAAGUGAUGACGAGUCUUCGAAAGAAGACGAAGUAACUAAUUCCACGCUCCCAAGAAAAGCCGCGACGUGAUUUAUAGGGUAAUCGUACCGCAAAUGGACACACAUAGGUGGGUAGAAUAUACCAAGGCGCGUGAGAGAAUGGCUGUUAAGGAACUCUGCAAUCUAACACCGUAACUUCGGGAGAAGGUGUGACUCAUUGCUUGUAGGAGUACAUCCGAAGGGUAAUGAGCCCGCAGUGAAACGGGGGUAUCGACUGUUUAACAAAAACACAGGACUCUGCAAACUCAAUUGAGGAUGUAUAGGGUCUGACGCCUGCCCGGUGCCGGAAGGUUAAGGAGAGAGGUCAUCGCAACCCAGAAGCUUUGAACCGAAGCCCCGGUAAACGGCGGCCGUAACUAUAACGGUCCUAAGGUAGCGAAAUUCCUUGUCGGGUAAGUUCCGACCUGCACGAAUGGCGUAACGAGUGCCCCGCUGUCUCGACAGCCAACUCAGCGAAAUAGUACUGGCCGUGCUGAUGCGGUCUCCCCGCGAAAAGACGGAAAGACCCUGUGCACCUUUACUACACCUUGACAGUGAAUUUCGGGCCGGUUUGCGUAGGAUAGGUGGGAGGCUUUGAAGCGGUCCUUUUGGGGAUCGUGGAGCCAACCUUGAAAUACCACCCUAAUUGUUCUGGAAUUCUAACCGCAUGCUGUGAAGCCAGCUGCGAGACACUGUCUGGCGGGUAGUUUGACUGGGGCGGUCGCCUCCCAAAGAGUAACGGAGGCGCACGAAGGUUCUCUCAGGCUGAUUGGAAACCAGCCGUCGAGUGCAAAAGCAUAAGAGAGCUUAACUGCAAGACCUACAAGUCGAGCAGGUGGGAAACCAGGUUUUAGUGAUCCGGUGGUUCUGCAUGGAAGGGCCAUCGCUCAACGGAUAAAAGGUACGCCGGGGAUAACAGGCUGAUGAUGCCCAAGAGUUCACAUCGACGGCAUCGUUUGGCACCUCGAUGUCGGCUCAUCACAUCCUGGGGCUGAAGUAGGUCCCAAGGGUUAGGCUGUUCGCCUAUUAAAGUGGUACGCGAGCUGGGUUCAGAACGUCGUGAGACAGUUCGGUCCCUAUCUUUCGUGGGCGCAGGAGAUUUGCGAGGAUCUGUCCCUAGUACGAGAGGACCGGGAUGGACGGACCGCUAGUGUGCCAGUUGUCACGCCAGUGGCAGUUGCUGGGUAGCUAUGUCCGGACGAGAUAACCGCUGAAAGCAUCUAAGUGGGAAACUAACCUCUAGAUAAGAUCUCCCGGGAGCAAUCCCUAAGACCCCUUGUAGACUACGAGGUUGAUAGGACAGAAGUGUAAGUUCCGUAAGGAAUUGAGCUGACUGUUACUAAUCGGUCGAGCGGCUUGACCAU